rnacentral:rRNA from 1 species
AGAGUUUGAUCAUGGCUCAGAUUGAACGCUGGCGGCAGGCCUAACACAUGCAAGUCGAACGGUAACAGGAAGAAGCUUGCUUCUUUGCUGACGAGUGGCGGACGGGUGAGUAAUGUCUGGGAAACUGCCUGAUGGAGGGGGAUAACUACUGGAAACGGUAGCUAAUACCGCAUAACGUCGCAAGACCAAAGAGGGGGACCUUCGGGCCUCUUGCCAUCGGAUGUGCCCAGAUGGGAUUAGCUUGUUGGUGGGGUAACGGCUCACCAAGGCGACGAUCCCUAGCUGGUCUGAGAGGAUGACCAGCCACACUGGAACUGAGACACGGUCCAGACUCCUACGGGAGGCAGCAGUGGGGAAUAUUGCACAAUGGGCGCAAGCCUGAUGCAGCCAUGCCGCGUGUAUGAAGAAGGCCUUCGGGUUGUAAAGUACUUUCAGCGGGGAGGAAGGGAGUAAAGUUAAUACCUUUGCUCAUUGACGUUACCCGCAGAAGAAGCACCGGCUAACUCCGUGCCAGCAGCCGCGGUAAUACGGAGGGUGCAAGCGUUAAUCGGAAUUACUGGGCGUAAAGCGCACGCAGGCGGUUUGUUAAGUCAGAUGUGAAAUCCCCGGGCUCAACCUGGGAACUGCAUCUGAUACUGGCAAGCUUGAGUCUCGUAGAGGGGGGUAGAAUUCCAGGUGUAGCGGUGAAAUGCGUAGAGAUCUGGAGGAAUACCGGUGGCGAAGGCGGCCCCCUGGACGAAGACUGACGCUCAGGUGCGAAAGCGUGGGGAGCAAACAGGAUUAGAUACCCUGGUAGUCCACGCCGUAAACGAUGUCGACUUGGAGGUUGUGCCCUUGAGGCGUGGCUUCCGGAGCUAACGCGUUAAGUCGACCGCCUGGGGAGUACGGCCGCAAGGUUAAAACUCAAAUGAAUUGACGGGGGCCCGCACAAGCGGUGGAGCAUGUGGUUUAAUUCGAUGCAACGCGAAGAACCUUACCUGGUCUUGACAUCCACGGAAGUUUUCAGAGAUGAAUUUGUGCCUUCGGGAACUGUGAGACAGGUGCUGCAUGGCUGUCGUCAGCUCGUGUUGUGAAAUGUUGGGUUAAGUCCCGCAACGAGCGCAACCCUUAUCCUUUGUUGCCAGCGGUCCGGCCGGGAACUCAAAGGAGACUGCCAGUGAUAAACUGGAGGAAGGUGGGGAUGACGUCAAGUCAUCAUGGCCCUUACGACCAGGGCUACACACGUGCUACAAUGGCGCAUACAAAGAGAAGCGACCUCGCGAGAGCAAGCGGACCUCAUAAAGUGCGUCGUAGUCCGGAUUGGAGUCUGCAACUCGACUCCAUGAAGUCGGAAUCGCUAGUAAUCGUGGAUCAGAAUGCCACGGUGAAUACGUUCCCGGGCCUUGUACACACCGCCCGUCACACCAUGGGAGUGGGUUGCAAAAGAAGUAGGUAGCUUAACCUUCGGGAGGGCGCUUACCACUUUGUGAUUCAUGACUGGGGUGAAGUCGUAACAAGGUAACCGUAGGGGAACCUGCGGUUGGAUCACCU